rnacentral:rRNA from 1 species
UACGGAGGGUGCAAGCGUUAAUCGGAAUUACUGGGCGUAAAGCGCACGCAGGUGGCUGAGUAAGUCGAUUGUGAAAGCCCUGGGCUUAACCUGGGAAUUGCAUUCGAUACUGCUCAGCUAGAGUAUGGGAGAGGGUAGUGGAAUUCCCGGUGUAGCGGUGAAAUGCGUAGAUAUCGGGAGGAACAUCAGUGGCGAAGGCGGCUACCUGGCCCAAUACUGACACUCAGGUGCGACAGCGUGGGGAGCAAACAGG